rnacentral:rRNA from 1 species
UAGGGAAUCUUCGGCAAUGGGGGGAACCCUGACCGAGCAACGCCGCGUGAGUGAAGAAGGUUUUCGGAUCGUAAAGCUCUGUUGUUAAGGAAGAACGAGUGUGAGAAUGGAAAGUUCAUACUGUGACGGUACUUAACCAGAAAGGGACUGCUAACUACGUGCCAGCAGCCGCGGUAAUACGUAGGUCCCGAGCGUUGUCCGGAUUUAUUGGGCGUAAAGCGAGCGCAGGCGGUUAGAUAAGUCUGAAGUUAAAGGCAGUGGCUCAACCAUUGUAGGCUUUGGAAACUGUUUAACUUGAGUGCAGAAGGGGAGAGUGGAAUUCCAUGUGUAGCGGUGAAAUGCGUAGAUAUAUGGAGGAACACCGGUGGCGAAAGCGGCUCUCUGGUCUGUAACUGACGCUGAGGCUCGAAAGCGUGGGGAGCGAACAGG